rnacentral:tRNA from 1 species
GCCUCGGCAGUGUGUUGGAUCAGCGCGGCAGACCGGAUAUCUGUAAGUGCGGGUUCGAGUCCCGCCUGAGGUU